rnacentral:rRNA from 1 species
CACCACAACGGGUGGAGCUUGCGGUUUAAUUGGAUUCAACGCCGGAAUCUUACCGGGACCGACAGCAAUAUGAAGGCCAGGCUGAAGACUUUGCCGGAUUAGCUGAGAGUGGUGCAUGGCCGUCGUCAGUUCGUACUGUGAAGCAUCCUGUUAAGUCAGGCAACGAGCGAGACCCACGCCCACAGUUGCCAGCGUACUCUCCGGAGUGACGGGUACACUGUGGGACCGCCGCUGCUAAAGCGGAGGAAGGAAUGGGCAACGGUAGGUCAGUAUGCCCCGAAUAUCCCGGGCUACACGCGAGCUACAAUGGUUGGUACAAUGGGUAUCUACCCCGAAAGGGGACGGAAAUCUCCUAAAACCAAUCUUAGUUCGGAUUGAGGGCUGCAACUCGCCCUCAUGAAGCUGGAAUCCGUAGUAAUCGCGUUUCAACAGAACGCGGUGAAUACGUCCCUGCUCCUU